AUGGAGGUAGCUCAAUGGUCUAGAGCAAUCGCCCGGCAAGUGAAAGACCCGGGUUCGAUUCCAGGUCUUUAGU
rfam:Harpegnathos saltator strain R22 G/1 HarSal_1.0_1.contig2025, whole genome shotgun sequence.